AACCCGUGGUGAGGGUACCUUCUCAAUAGAUCUUUGUAUCUCUCCCAUGCAUCAUAGAGUGUUUCUAGAUCCAUCUACACAAAAGAAAAGAUAUCAUUCCUCAACUU
rnacentral:snoRNA from 1 species